rnacentral:tRNA from 1 species
GCGGAUGUGGUGGAAUUGGUAGACACGCCAGCUUGAGGGGCUGGUGAGCGCAAGCUCGUGGGGGUUCAAGUCCCCCAUCCGCACCA